CAGGAUGAACGCUGGCGGCGUGCCUAACGCAUGCAAGUCGAACGAAGCGCUAUUUCGGAAGCUUUUCGGAGUGAAAGAGAAAGUGACUGAGUGGCGGACGGGUGAGUAACGCGUGGGCAACCUACCCCACACAGGGGGACAACAGCUGGAAACGGCUGCUAAUACCGCAUAGGCGCACAGCUUCGCAUGAAGGAGUGUGGAAAGCAAUAGCGGUGUGGGAUGGGCCCGCGUCUGAUUAGCUAGUUGGUGAGGCAGAGGCUCACCAAGGCGACGAUCAGUAGCCGGCCUGAGAGGGCGGACGGCCACAUUGGGACUGAGACACGGCCCAGACUCCUACGGGAGGCAGCAGUGGGGGAUAUUGCACAAUGGGGGAAACCCUGAUGCAGCGACGCCGCGUGAGCGAAGAAGUAUUUCGGUAUGUAAAGCUCUAUCAGCAGGGAAGAAAAUGACGGUACCUGAGUAAGAAGCCCCGGCUAAAUACGUGCCAGCAGCCGCGGUAAUACGUAUGG
rnacentral:rRNA from 1 species